GACGAAGGGGGCUAGCGUUGUUCGGAAUUACUGGGCGUAAAGCGAGUGUAGGUGGUUGUCCAAGUUGGAUGUGAAAGCCUUGAGCUCAACUCAAGAAAUGCAUUCAGGACUGGGCGACUAGAGGACCGGAGAGGAUAGUGGAAUUCCCAGUGUAGUGGUGAAAUACGUAGAGAUUGGGAAGAACACCAGUGGUGAAGGCGGCUAUCUGGACGGUUUCUGACACUAAGACUCGAAAGCGUGGGGAGCAAACAGG
rnacentral:rRNA from 1 species